GACGAACGCUGGCGGCGUGCUUAACACAUGCAAGUCGAACGGAAAGGCCCUGCUUUUGUGGGGUGCUCGAGUGGCGAACGGGUGAGUAACACGUGAGUAACCUGCCCUUGACUUUGGGAUAACUUCAGGAAACUGGGGCUAAUACCGGAUAGGAGCUCCUGCUGCAUGGUGGGGGUUGGAAAGUUUCGGCGGUUGGGGAUGGACUCGCGGCUUAUCAGCUUGUUGGUGGGGUAGUGGCUUACCAAGGCUUUGACGGGUAGCCGGCCUGAGAGGGUGACCGGCCACAUUGGGACUGAGAUACGGCCCAGACUCCUACGGGAGGCAGCAGUGGGGAAUAUUGCACAAUGGGCGGAAGCCUGAUGCAGCAACGCCGCGUGCGGGAUGACGGCCUUCGGGUUGUAAACCGCUUUCGCCUGUGACGAAGCGUGAGUGACGGUAAUGGGUAAAGAAGCACAGGCUAACUACGUGCCAGCAGCCGCGGUGAUACGUAGGGUGCGAGCGUUGUCCGGAUUUAUUGGGCGUAAAGGGCUCGUAGGUGGUUGAUCGCGUCGGAAGUGUAAUCUUGGGGCUUAACCCUGAGCGUGCUUUCGAUACGGGUUGACUUGAGGAAGGUAGGGGAGAAUGGAAUUCCUGGUGGAGCGGUGGAAUGCGCAGAUAUCAGGAGGAACACCAGUGGCGAAGGCGGUUCUCUGGGCCUUUCCUGACGCUGAGGAGCGAAAGCGUGGGGAGCGAACAGGCUUAGAUACCCUGGUAGUCCACGCUGUAAACGGUGGGUACUAGGUGUGGGGUCCAUUCCACGGGUUCCGUGCCGUAGCUAACGCUUUAAGUACCCCGCCUGGGGAGUACGGCCGCAAGGCUAAAACUCAAAGGAAUUGACGGGGCCCCGCACAAGCGGCGGAGCAUGCGGAUUAAUUCGAUGCAACGCGUAGAACCUUACCUGGGUUUGACAUGGAUCGGGAGCGCUCAGAGAUGGGUGUGCCUCUUUUGGGGUCGGUUCACAGGUGGUGCAUGGCUGCCGUCAGCUCGUGUCGUGAGAUGUUGGGUUAAGUCCCGCAACGAGCGCAACCCUUGUUCACUGUUGCCAGCACGUUAUGGUGGGGACUCAGUGGAGACCGCCGGGGUCAACUCGGAGGAAGGCGGGGAUGACGUCAAGUCAUCAUGCCCCUUAUGUCCAGGGCUUCACGCAUGCUACAAUGGCUGGUACAGAGAGUGGCGAGCCUGUGAGGGUGAGCGAAUCCCGGAAAGCCGGUCUCAGUUCGGAUUGGGGUCUGCAACUCGACCUCAUGAAGUCGGAGUCGCUAGUAAUCGCAGAUCAGCAACGCUGCGGUGAAUACGUUCCCGGG
rnacentral:rRNA from 1 species